rnacentral:rRNA from 1 species
ACGAACGCUGGCGGCGUGCUUAACACAUGCAAGUCGAACGGUGAAGCUCCAGCUUGCUGGAGUGGAUCAGUGGCGAACGGGUGAGUAACACGUGAGCAACCUGCCCCUGACUCUGGAAUAAGCGCUGGAAACGGCGUCUAAUACUGGAUACGAGAAGGGCCCGCAUGGGCACUUUCUGGAAAGUUUUUCGGUUGGGGAUGGGCUCGCGGCCUAUCAGCUUGCUGGUGAGGUAAUGGCUCACCAAGGCGACGACGGGUAGCCGGCCUGAGAGGGCGACCGGCCACACUGGGACUGAGACACGGCCCAGACUCCUACGGGAGGCAGCAGUGGGGAAUAUUGCACAAUGGGCGAAAGCCUGAUGCAGCGACGCCGCGUGAGGGAUGACGGCCUUCGGGUUGUAAACCUCUUUCAGCAGGGAAGAAGCGAAAGUGACGGUACCUGCAGAAGAAGCACCGGCUAACUACGUG